UACGGAGGGUGCAAGCGUUGUCCGGAUUUAUUGGGUUUAAAGGGUGCGUAGGCGGCCCUGUAAGUCAGUGGUGAAAUACUGCAGCUUAACUGUAGCAUUGCCAUUGAUACUGCAGGGCUUGAGUACAGAUGAGGUAGGCGGAAUUGAUGGUGUAGCGGUGAAAUGCAUAGAUACCAUCAAGAACACCGAUUGCGAAGGCAGCUUACUAAG
rnacentral:rRNA from 1 species